rnacentral:tRNA from 1 species
GUCCUUGUCGAUUAGUGGUUAGAUCAUCACGUUGUGGUUACGCACAAUUCCGUGAAGACGGAGGCUCGAAUCCUCCCUGGGACA